rnacentral:rRNA from 1 species
CACGUAGGUGGCGACGUAAGUCGGGUGUGAAAGCCCCGGGCUCAACCUGGGAAUUGCAUUCGAGACUGUGUCGCUGGAGUACGGAAGAGGAAGGCGGAAUUCCCGGUGUAGCGGUGAAAUGCGUAGAUAUCGGGAGGAACAUCAGUGGCGAAGGCGGCCUUCUGGUCCAGUACUGACACUCAAGUGCGAAAGCGUGGGGAAGCAAACA